rnacentral:lncRNA from 1 species
CCCCUUAUGGUUGUUAGUAUGGUAGUUACGGUUUGUUAUUAUUGCAUGCGACUGUAUUUAUGUUUCUUAUGUUUACAUAAUUAUUUACGUUAUUUCCGCGGGAUUUACUAAUGCUCUAUUGUUUUGUUUUAUCUUGUUUUUGUUUCUAAUUUUGUCUUUGUUUUUGUUUUUGUUUUUGUUUUUGUUUUAAUGUAGCUUUUCAUUUUAUCCUAUGCGCCGAGGGUCGAAUGGAAACAGCCUCUCUACCCUUUCGGGUAGGGGUAAGGCUCGUCUACAUAUUACCCUCCCCAGACCCCACCUGGUGAGAAUAUAC